rnacentral:sRNA from 3 species
AACCGCUGUUAACCAGCACGGGCGGCGGAGUUUUCUCCACGCCCGUUCAUGUUUGUUAAGGGCAUUAAAAACAUG